GUCUCAGUAGCAUAGUGGUUAGUGCACAGUCCCGGAAAGGUUGAGACGCGGGUUCGAUUCCCGCCUGAGAUG
rfam:Nippostrongylus brasiliensis genome assembly, scaffold: NBR_scaffold0000392